UACGAAGGGGGCAAGCGUUGUUCGGAAUUACUGGGCGUAAAGGGCGCGCAGGCGGCCGAUCAAGUCAGAUGUGAAAGCCCCGGGCUCAACCUGGGAAUAGCAUUUGGGACUGUUUGGCUAGAGAUCGGGAGAGGAGAGUGGAAUUCCCAGUGUAGAGGUGAAAUUCGUAGAUAUCAGGAGGAAUACCGAUGGCGAAGGCAGGUCUCUGGGCUGACACUGACGCUCAUGCACGAAAGCGUGGGGAGCAAACAGG
rnacentral:rRNA from 1 species